GACGAACGCUGGCGGCGUGCCUAAUACAUGCAAGUUGAGCGCUGAAGGUUGGUACUUGUACCAACUGGAUGAGCAGCACACGGGUGAGUAACGCGUGGGGAAUCUGCCUUUGAGCGGGGGACAACAUUUGGAAACGAAUGCUAAUACCGCAUAAAAACUUUAAACACAAGUUUUAAGUUUGAAAGAUGCAAUUGCAUCACUCAAAGAUGAUCCCGCGUUGUAUUAGCUAGUUGGUGAGGUAAAGGCUCACCAAGGCGAUGAUACAUAGCCGACCUGAGAGGGUGAUCGGCCACAUUGGGAGUGAGACACGGCCCAAACGCCUACGGGAGGCAGCAGGAGGGAAUCUUCGGCAAGGGACGAAAGUCUGACCGAGCAACGCCGCGGGAGUGAAGAAGGUUGUCGGAUCGUAAAACUCUGUUGGUAGAGAAGAACGUUGGUGAGAGUGGAAAGCUCAUCAAGUGACGGUAACUACCCAGAAAGGGACGGCUAACUACGUG
rnacentral:rRNA from 1 species